GACGAACGCUGGCGGCGUGCUUAACACAUGCAAGUCGAACGGAAAGGCCCUGCUUUUGUGGGGUGCUCGAGUGGCGAACGGGUGAGUAACAAGAGAGUAACCUGCCCUUGACUUAGGGAUAACUUCAGGAAACUGGGGCUAAUACCGGAUAGGAGUUCCUGCUGCAUGGUGGGGGUUGGAAAGUUUCGGCGGUUGGGGAUGGACUCGCGGCUUAUCAGCUUGUUGGUGGGGUAGUGGCUUACCAAGGCUUUGACGGGUAGCCGGCCUGAGAGGGUGACCGGCCACAUUGGGACUGAGAUACGGCCCAGACUCCUACGGGAGGCAGCAGUGGGGAAUAUUGCACAAUGGGCGGAAGCCUGAUGCAGCAACGCCGCGUGCGGGAUGACGGCCUUCGGGUUGUAAACCGCUUUCGCCUGUGACGAAGCGUGAGUGACGGUAAUGGGUAAAGAAGCACCGGCUAACUACGUG
rnacentral:rRNA from 1 species